GUCGAGGUCGUCGGGAGCGAGUAAGUGGCGGACGGGUGAGUAACGCGUGGGAAUCUGCCCAGUAGUUGGGAACAACUUCCGGAAACGGGAGCUAAUACCGAAUACGCCCUACGGGGGAAAGGCUUCGGCCGCUAUUGGAUGAGCCCGCGUAAGAUUAGCUUGUUGGUGGGGUAAUGGCCUACCAAGGCGACGAUCUUUAGCUGGUCUGAGAGGACGAUCAGCCACACUGGGACUGAGACACGGCCCAGACUCCUACGGGAGGCAGCAGUGGGGAAUAUUGGACAAUGGGGGAAACCCUGAUCCAGCAAUGCCGCGUGUGUGAAGAAGGCCUGCGGGUUGUAAAGCACUUUCAGUAGGGAAGAAAUCAAUGACGGUACCUACAAAAGAAGCACCGGCUAACUCCGUGCCAGCAGCCGCGGUAAUACGGAGGGUGCGAGCGUUAAUCGGAAUUACUGGGCGUAAAGCGUACGUAGGUGGUUUGGUAAGUCGGAUGUGAAAUCCCCGGGCUCAACCUGGGAAUUGCAUUCGAAACUGCUUUACUAGAGUCUAGCAGAGGGAUGGGGAAUUCCGGGUGUAGCGGUGAAAUGCGUAGAGAUCCGGAGGAACAUCAGUGGCGAAGGCGCCAUCCUGGGCUAAGACUGACGCUGAG
rnacentral:rRNA from 1 species